GGGUUGUGAGGUUAAGCGACUAAGCGUACACGGUGGAUGCCCUGGCAGUCAGAGGCGAUGAAGGACGUGCUAAUCUGCGAAAAGCGCCGGCGAGGUGAUAUGAACCCUUGACCCGGCGAUGUCCGAAUGGGGAAACCCAGUGCAAUCCGUUGCACUAUCGUUAACUGAAUACAUAGGUUAACGAGGCGAACCGGGGGAACUGAAACAUCUAAGUACCCCGAGGAAAAGAAAUCAACCGAGAUUCCCCCAGUAGCGGCGAGCGAACGGGGAGCAGCCCGGAGUCUGAAUCAGCUUGUGUGUUAGUGGAACGGUCUGGAAAGUCCGACGGUACAGGGUGAUAGUCCCGUACACGAAAGCACACAUGCUGUGAACUCGAAGAGUAGGGCGGGACACGUGGUAUCCUGUCUGAAUAUGGGGGGACCAUCCUCCAAGGCUAAAUACUCCUGACUGACCGAUAGUGAACCAGUACCGUGAGGGAAAGGCGAAAAGAACCCCGGCGAGGGGAGUGAAAAAGAACCUGAAACCGUGUACGUACAAGCAGUGGGAGCCUCUUUAUGGGGUGACUGCGUACCUUUUGUAUAAUGGGUCAGCGACUUAUAUUCUGUAGCAAGGUUAACCGUAUAGGGGAGCCGAAGGGAAACCGAGUCUUAACUGGGCGUUAAGUUGCAGGGUAUAGACCCGAAACCCGGUGAUCUAGCCAUGGGCAGGUUGAAGGUUGGGUAACACUAACUGGAGGACCGAACCGACUAAUGUUGAAAAAUUAGCGGAUGACCUGUGGCUGGGGGUGAAAGGCCAAUCAAACCGGGAGAUAGCUGGUUCUCCCCGAAAGCUAUUUAGGUAGCGCCUCGUGAACUCAUCUUCGGGGGUAGAGCACUGUUUCGGCUAGGGGGCCAUCCCGGCUUACCAACCCGAUGCAAACUACGAAUACCGAAGAAUGUUAUCACGGGAGACACACGGCGGGUGCUAACGUCCGUCGUGAAGAGGGAAACAACCCAGACCGCCAGCUAAGGUCCCAAAGUCAUGGUUAAGUGGGAAACGAUGUGGGAAGGCACAGACAGCCAGGAUGUUGGCUUAGAAGCAGCCAUCAUUUAAAGAAAGCGUAAUAGCUCACUGGUCGAGUCGGCCUGCGCGGAAGAUGUAACGGGGCUAAACCAUGCACCGAAGCUGCGGCAGCGACACUAUGUGUUGUUGGGUAGGGGAGCGUUCUGUAAGCCGUUGAAGGUGUGCUGUGAGGCAUGCUGGAGGUAUCAGAAGUGCGAAUGCUGACAUAAGUAACGAUAAAGCGGGUGAAAAGCCCGCUCGCCGGAAGACCAAGGGUUCCUGUCCAACGUUAAUCGGGGCAGGGUGAGUCGACCCCUAAGGCGAGGCCGAAAGGCGUAGUCGAUGGGAAACAGGUUAAUAUUCCUGUACUUGGUGUUACUGCGAAGGGGGGACGGAGAAGGCUAUGUCAGCCGGGCGACGGUUGUCCCGGUUUAAGCAUGUAGGCGGAGGUUCCAGGUAAAUCCGGUACCUUAUUAACGCUGAGGUGUGAUGACGAGGCACUACGGUGCUGAAGUGAUAAAUGCCCUGCUUCCAGGAAAAGCCUCUAAGCAUCAGGUAACACGAAAUCGUACCCCAAACCGACACAGGUGGUCAGGUAGAGAAUACCAAGGCGCUUGAGAGAACUCGGGUGAAGGAACUAGGCAAAAUGGUGCCGUAACUUCGGGAGAAGGCACGCUGAUAUGUAGGUGAAGCCCCUGCGGGCGGAGCUGAAAUCAGUCGAAGAUACCAGCUGGCUGCAACUGUUUAUUAAAAACACAGCACUGUGCAAACACGAAAGUGGACGUAUACGGUGUGACGCCUGCCCGGUGCCGGAAGGUUAAUUGAUGGGGUUAGCGGCAACGCGAAGCUCUUGAUCGAAGCCCCGGUAAACGGCGGCCGUAACUAUAACGGUCCUAAGGUAGCGAAAUUCCUUGUCGGGUAAGUUCCGACCUGCACGAAUGGCGUAAUGAUGGCCAGGCUGUCUCCACCCGAGACUCAGUGAAAUUGAACUCGCUGUGAAGAUGCAGUGUACCCGCGGCAAGACGGAAAGACCCCGUGAACCUUUACUAUAGCUUGACACUGAACACUGGUCCUUGAUGUGUAGGAUAGGUGGGAGGCUUUGAAGCGUGGACGCCAGUCUGCGUGGAGCCAACCUUGAAAUACCACCCUUUAAUGGCUGGUGUUCUAACGUGGACCCGUAAUCCGGGUUGCGGACAGUGUCUGGUGGGUAGUUUGACUGGGGCGGUCUCCUCCCAAAGAGUAACGGAGGAGCACGAAGGUUGGCUAAUCCUGGUCGGACAUCAGGAGGUUAGUGCAAUGGCAUAAGCCAGCUUGACUGCGAGCGUGACGGCGCGAGCAGGUGCGAAAGCAGGUCAUAGUGAUCCGGUGGUUCUGAAUGGAAGGGCCAUCGCUCAACGGAUAAAAGGUACUCCGGGGAUAACAGGCUGAUACCGCCCAAGAGUUCAUAUCGACGGCGGUGUUUGGCACCUCGAUGUCGGCUCAUCACAUCCUGGGGCUGAAGUAGGUCCCAAGGGUAUGGCUGUUCGCCAUUUAAAGUGGUACGCGAGCUGGGUUUAGAACGUCGUGAGACAGUUCGGUCCCUAUCUGCCGUGGGCGCUGGAGAAUUGAGGGGGGCUGCUCCUAGUACGAGAGGACCGGAGUGGACGCAUCACUGGUGUUCGGGUUGUCAUGCCAAUGGCACUGCCCGGUAGCUAAAUGCGGAAGAGAUAAGUGCUGAAAGCAUCUAAGCACGAAACUUGCCCCGAGAUGAGUUCUCCCUGAGACUUUAAGUCUCCUGAAGGAACGUUGAAGACGACGACGUUGAUAGGUCGGGUGUGUAAGCGCAGCGAUGCGUUGAGCUAACCGAUACUAAUGAACCGUGAGGCUUAACCUUACAACGCCGAAGGUGUUU
rnacentral:rRNA from 2 species